AUGAAUACUGGAAAGAAAUCUUACACAUGGAGCUCUAACAACAUCUUCAUUUCACAGAGAGUGAAAUCUCAGGGAGAAAGUACCAGCUGGACUGAGUGUGCUAAAACCAGAGCCACAGUCUAUCUUAAAAGCCGGUCCCCUCGUAUCAGAUCUCAGCAGCAGCUGCAGCAACAUGCACUCCAUCGAUGCAGGAGCAGAACCGAAGUAUGAAACUGAAGUAUGAAAGCUGUGGCAGAGCUGAGCACUGGAAAACAGAUUAGGCCAUCACAUAUGCGGAACAGGAAGACGAUAUGGUGAAACAAGAGCGAAGAAACAGGGAGAGCAGGAGGGAUGGUACCUGCCUGUCCAUCUUUCCAGGUACCGACAUGGGGCAUUUGAAGCUUCAAACCAGAGCUCAUUCCAUUCCUGGCUGCUCUAACAUGCCCCAGGAUCAACAGUCAUGCCUAAAUUGUGGCAAGACACAUAGAAAGUCCCCGGCAAUGGGAAGAGCACGGGCAGGGGCUCUUCUCUUGAAGCAGGCUGCUGAGGAGGAUUUUCAGACUUUGCAAAGAAGGCCAGAGACACUUAGAUCUAAAUUGAGAGACAGAGCAGCACAGGUCAAAGAUCCUUUAGAAGAGCAUCUGGAACAGGGGCAUGAUCCCAUCCCUCAGAGAGCUCAAGGCCAGGCUU
rnacentral:lncRNA from 1 species